AUCCACACGUGUUUGGAGGAGUUGAAGAAGAGGAUGAAGCACACAGACCGCUAAGGAGGAGAGACAUGGCUCCUAUAUUUCUCUUUAACAUUCUGGAGUCCUGGAGUAAAACAACGUUGACGACCCCGCAGCUAAACCAUCAGUCUGCUCCACCCAGUAGAAGAAGAUGAGGUCAUCUGUUCCUUGGACCGGCGCCUCUGUGUCUGUUGGACGUCAGUAGAUGGGCGCUGACAUGGAGGUUCCUUCCUGUUUGAAGCUAGUUUUCCUCUCUACUGUGACCACUUCAUUGCUCAGGAGGGACUGCUGCAAAAUUAACGACUGGAUGUGAUUGGCUGAGCUUCCUUGGACUGAAGACAUUUCUCUAAACACCAUAAUAAGCUGAAUUUAUCUUCCCCAUGUUGUAAAUAGGAUUGGACUGGACUGGAUGUUUGUUUUUCAAUUUGAUUCUGUUUGUGUUGAAUUCUGUUACAUGUUUCUGUAUUAAAGCUGUCAUGUUAAUUGCCUUUAGAUGACAUUUGUUGGGACUUGUUUCUAUUUUAUAAGACUGUAUUAUAAUAAAUCCCCCUACUGGGUCUGGUUCUGUUGAAGUACUGUAUGUUUCCUGUCGUUCUAUCUUCUCCUGUUAUUUCUCACUAUAAUAAAGGUUUGAUUCAAGUCA